rnacentral:rRNA from 1 species
UAGAGAGAGACAUGCGCGCAUAUCAAUAAGCGGAGGAAAAGAAACUAACUAAGGAUUCCCUCAGUAACGGCGAGUGAAGCGGGAAGAGCUCAAAUUUGAAAUCUUCAAGGUUCUACCUUGACGAAUUGUAGUUUAAAGAAGUGUUUUCUGUUGGAGUUUUGGUAAAAGUUCUUUGGAAUAGGACAUCAUAGAGGGUGAGAAUCCCGUAUUUGACCAUUAUUUCCAGCUUUGUGAUACACUUUCAAAGAGUCGGAUUGUUUGGGAAUGCAGUCCAGAAUGGGUGGUAAAUUUCAUCUAAAGCUAAAUACUGACGAGAGACCGAUAGCGAACAAGUACCGUGAGGGAAAGAUGAAAAGAACUUUGAAAAGAGAGUUAAACAGUACGUGAAAUUGUCAAAAGGGAAGCGUUUGACACCAGUGUUGUUUUCUCGAAAAUCAAUUAAAAAAGGCAGGAUUUUGUGUUGUAUUGACUUUAUCAGCUUUCUGCACUCUUUUCUUGUCUUUUUUAAUGCACUUUUCGUUUAACAAGUCAACAUCAAUUUCUUUUGUUGUAAAAGGGUCAUUGGAAGGUGGCUUUCUUUUCGGAGAAAGUGUUUAUAGCCUUUGCCUCUGCAAUCGGAGAGAUUGAGGUCUGCAGCGUAGAUCCUUCGGGGUUAGAUACAUUUGUGCUAAGUUAUAGCCUUUCAUAGACAACUUGUUGACUAUGAUCAGUCAUGUAGCUUACUCGCUUAUGCUAUUUUACCUACGCUUAGGAUGUUGAUGUGAUACUGCGAGCA